rnacentral:misc_RNA from 1 species
CUGCUGGUACAAACCAUAGUACAGAUCAAAGCUAUCCUCCGCUGCAUUUUCCACCAACUUUAUCAAAGUUUCAUAGCCUUUAGCGUUCACUGGUGUCGACUCCAAACCCAACUUUCCCAAAACCCUGGUGUGCGUAAUGAACUUUGACCCAGCUGCACGCCAAUCAUUUUCUGCACUGGACGAUUCCACCAUUCUGCAUCCUUCACGAGCAAAACUAUCAAAAUCUGGUGUGUUGUGUAUAAAGAAUAUCAAAAUCAGGUGGCAAAUGUUGAAGAAACAAAUUCCUUGGAAGCUCUUUAACUGAGAGUACAUCAACAAAGA